rnacentral:misc_RNA from 1 species
AAGCUGCUUUUGUUAUUUCAACAACUCUAAACUCAGCUUCUUCUGCACUUUCUGAUACUGUUAAUCAAUACCUUUUAGCCUCACCCAACCUGCCUUUCAUUACUAGCCAGCAAGGCGAUUCUGGCAUUGCUAUAACUCCAAAACCAAUGAGUAAAGAUGGUAUUGCCGCUAGACUUAACAUCAGCCUCCAGUUAGUGUGCUGUGGCAGACCUGACAGGGUAUAGUUGAUGAUGUAUCCUAGGAGAAUUCAAAAAACAAUGAAGACCUAAGGAAGGGAGGUGAGGAAUCCGCGAGUCAUAGCCGGAGAGACCUCGGCAGUGCAGACUGGAGCGAUCAUGAGGGAAUUACCGAUUCCGAUUCCGGCAACAACGCAACCAGCCAUGAGAAUAUGAAAAGAUGGUGCUAGGCCCAUAAGAAGUGCACCAAUUAAAAAUGUGGUUGCAGCUAGGACUAUAGUGUAAGGCCUGCCUAAAUAAUCCGAGGUUUUCUCUGAGGCCAAGGAGCCUAUGAGCGAACAUGCAUUUAGUAUACCCACCAAAAUCUCUACUUGG